rnacentral:rRNA from 1 species
GAUGAACGCUGGCGGCGUGCCUAAUACAUGCAAGUCGAGCGAACGGACGAGAAGCUUGCUUCUCUGAUGUUAGCGGCGGACGGGUGAGUAACACGUGGAUGACCUACCUAUAAGACUGGGAUAACUUCGGGAAACCGGAGCUAAUACCGGAUAAUAUUUUGAACCGCAUGGUUCAAAAGUGAAAGACGGUCUUGCUGUCACUUAUAGAUGGAUCCGCGCUGCAUUAGCUAGUUGGUAAGGUAACGGCUUACCAAGGCAACGAUGCAUAGCCGACCUGAGAGGGUGAUCGGCCACACUGGAACUGAGACACGGUCCAGACUCCUACGGGAGGCAGCAGUAGGGAAUCUUCCGCAAUGGGCGAAAGCCUGACGGAGCAACGCCGCGUGAGUGAUGAAGGUCUUCGGAUCGUAAAACUCUGUUAUUAGGGAAAAACAUAUGUGUAAGUAACUGUGCACAUCUUGACGGUACCUAAUCAGAAAGCCACGGCUAACUACGUGCCAGCAGCCGCGGUAAUACGUAGGUGGCAAGCGUUAUCCGGAAUUAUUGGGCGUAAAGCGCGCGUAGGCGGUUUUUUAAGUCUGAUGUGAAAGCCCACGGCUCAACCGUGGAGGGUCAUUGGAAACUGGAAAACUUGAGUGCAGAAGAGGAAAGUGGAAUUCCAUGUGUAGCGGUGAAAUGCGCAGAGAUAUGGAGGAACACCAGUGGCGAAGGCGACUUUCUGGUCUGUAACUGACGCUGAUGUGCGAAAGCGUGGGGAUCAAACAGGAUUAGAUACCCUGGUAGUCCACGCCGUAAACGAUGAGUGCUAAGUGUUAGGGGGUUUCCGCCCCUUAGUGCUGCAGCUAACGCAUUAAGCACUCCGCCUGGGGAGUACGACCGCAAGGUUGAAACUCAAAGGAAUUGACGGGGACCCGCACAAGCGGUGGAGCAUGUGGUUUAAUUCGAAGCAACGCGAAGAACCUUACCAAAUCUUGACAUCCUUUGACAACUCUAGAGAUAGAGCCUUCCCCUUCGGGGGACAAAGUGACAGGUGGUGCAUGGUUGUCGUCAGCUCGUGUCGUGAGAUGUUGGGUUAAGUCCCGCAACGAGCGCAACCCUUAAGCUUAGUUGCCAUCAUUAAGUUGGGCACUCUAAGUUGACUGCCGGUGACAAACCGGAGGAAGGUGGGGAUGACGUCAAAUCAUCAUGCCCCUUAUGAUUUGGGCUACACACGUGCUACAAUGGACAAUACAAAGGGCAGCGAAACCGCGAGGUCAAGCAAAUCCCAUAAAGUUGUUCUCAGUUCGGAUUGUAGUCUGCAACUCGACUACAUGAAGCUGGAAUCGCUAGUAAUCGUAGAUCAGCAUGCUACGGUGAAUACGUUCCCGGGUCU